AGAAUAUUUUCAAUCCAUGGUUGUGUGCGGAACCUGUGGAUACAGAAGACUGACUAUAAUAUCAAGGAUAAUGACUUAAAACUUAACAUUGGUCACUGCAAUCAAAGUCUUAAUAUGAAAAACCAAGUUGCUCCCUGCCCAUUAACGCUGAGCUGGAGAAGCAGGAUUCACAGGACCUUACAACCGGGACCAGGAGCAGCAGCUUGGAGAUUCAGGCCUUCUUUGGCUUCCUUGACCCUCCUGUCCCAGGGCCAGCAUCAGGGAGGGAGGAAGAGGACAGGGAUGGAUGACUCCUCUGACAACCACACGGGGUAAGGCCAGGCUCACGGUCACACAGUGGCUGAGCCAGAAGACCAGUGUUUUUGCUUUUCUGUCUAAUAAUGGCUGCAUCUAUACAAAAUUUUGGGCAGGAAGGGCAAUGCAUCUAUCAGAAUGCAGUGGUGACAGGCGCAGCAGGAGCUAAAUUGGCUGAGUUGAACCAGGCUGUUACUUCCUAGCUGUGUGACCUUAGGGAAAUCACCCAACCUCUGUGCCAACAACUGCACCUACCGCAUAGGAUUCACUUAAGGAUUAAAGAAGCUGAUCAAUAUCAAGUGAUUAAAAUCCUACCUGGCACGUCUGUAACAAGGAUUCUACA